rnacentral:rRNA from 1 species
UUUUAAAUAUAAAUUAAUAAAAUAUUAAUAAUAAAAAUAAUUUUAAAAAAAUAAAGUUUUAGUAUUUUUUAAAGAAAAAAUUAAUAAAUUUAUAGUAAAUUAUUAUAGUAAUAUAAAUUUGAAAUAAUUGAAAAUAAAUUAAUAAAAAAGUAGAUUUAAUUUAUUUUAUCUUGUGUAUCAGAGUUUAUUAAAAAUAUAAUAUAAAAUAUAUUAAUCUCGAAUUUAAAAGAGUUAAUUAAUUAAUUAAUUUAUUGUUAAAAAAAUAUUUAUAAUAAUUAAUUUGAAAUGAAAUGUUAAUCGUUUUUAAAUAUAUCUAGUUUUAUUUGAAAUAAAUUUAAUUUAUAAUUUAAUUUAUAAUUUUUUAUAUAAAAUAAAUUAUUAUAUAUUAAAAUUAAAUAUUAUAAGGGAUAAACUUUAUAAUAAAUUUUUAUAAUAUGAAAAAAAAUUAUUAAAAAUUAUAUAAAUUAAAUUUUUAAAAAAUUUUAGUUUUUUAUAAAUAAUUUUAAUUAAAAGAAAAUUUUAUAAUAAAAUUUAAUUUUUUAAAAUAAUUAUUAAUUAUAAUAAUUAAAAUUAAAUGAUAAUGAUAAAAUUAGUAUAUUUAAAUUUUAAAUUUAAUAAUAAAAAUAAUAUUUUUUAAAGGAAUUCGACAAAAAUUUAUAUUUACCUGUUUAUUAAAAACAUGUCUUUUUGAAAAUAAUUUAAAGUCUAAUCUGCCCACUGAAUUAAUUUAAAGGGCUGCAGUAAUUUGACUGUACAAAGGUAGCAUAAUCAAUAGUCUUUUAAUUGGAGACUGGUAUGAAUGAUUGGAUAAGAUAUAGAUUGUCUCUAAAAAAUAUAAUAGAAAUUAAUUUUUUAUUUAAAAAGAUAAAAUAAUAUUAAAAGACGAGAAGACCCUAUAGAGUUUUAUAAUAAUUAAAUUAAUAAUUAUUUAUAAUAAAAUUAAUAAAAAAUUUAAUUAUUAUUUUAUUGGGGUGAUAAAAAAAUUUAAUUAACUUUUUUAAUUAUUUUAUAUAAAUAAAUAGAUAUAUGAUCCUUUAAUAAAGAUAAAAAGAUUAAAUUACCUUAGGGAUAACAGCGUAAUUUUUUUUUUUAGUUCUUAUAAGAAAAAAAGUUUGCGACCUCGAUGUUGGAUUAAGAUAAAAUUUAAAAGUAGAAUUUUAAAAUUUUGAUCUGUUCGAUCAUUAAAAUCUUACAUGAUCUGAGUUUAAACCGGUGUGAGCCAGGUUGGUUUCUAUCUUUAAUAAUAUAUGAUAAUUUAGUACGAAAGGAAUAAUUAUUAAAAAUAAUUUUAUUAAAAUGAAUUUUAUUAAUAGAUAUUUUA